UACAGAGGUCCCAAGCGUUGUUCGGAUUCACUGGGCGUAAAGGGUGCGUAGGCGGUCGGGUAAGUCUGAUGUGAAAUCUCACAGCUUAACUGUGAAACUGCAUUGGAUACUAUCCGGCUCGAGGAAUGGAGGGGAGACUGGAAUACUUGGUGUAGCAGUGAAAUGCGUAGAUAUCAAGUGGAACACCAGUGGCGAAGGCGAGUCUCUG
rnacentral:rRNA from 1 species